GACGAACGCUGGCGGCGUGCCUAAUACAUGCAAGUAGAACGCUGAAGGAGGAGCUUGCUUCUCUGGAUGAGUUGCGAACGGGUGAGUAACGCGUAGGUAACCUGCCUGGUAGCGGGGGAUAACUAUUGGAAACGAUAGCUAAUACCGCAUAAUAGUAGAUGUUGCAUGACAUUUGCUUAAAAGGUGCAAUUGCAUCACUACCAGAUGGACCUGCGUUGUAUUAGCUAGUUGGUGAGGUAACGGCUCACCAAGGCGGCGAUACAUAGCCGACCUGAGAGGGUGAUCGGCCACACUGGGACUGAGACACGGCCCAGACUCCUACGGGAGGCAGCAGUAGGGAAUCUUCGGCAAUGGACGGAAGUCUGACCGAGCAACGCCGCGUGAGUGAAGAAGGUUUUCGGAUCGUAAAGCUCUGUUGUAAGAGAAGAACGAGUGUGAGAGUGGAAAGUUCACACUGUGACGGUAUCUUACCAGAAAGGGACGGCUAACUACGUG
rnacentral:rRNA from 1 species